rnacentral:lncRNA from 1 species
CUUCUCAGAAGAGGACACAGAAGCACAGAGUGGUCGUGAAGCGACAUACCCAAGAUGGCAGAACUGGGUGCUUGGCGGGGGGGGGUCUCACCACAAGGCCCAUGCCCUCUGGAGAAGAAAGAGGCUGACUCCAGGUCAGAGGACUCUGGGUCCAAGUCCCACCGCCCGCACCUGCCCGUGGCCAGGGGUGAGUCACGUCACCCCUCUUAGCCUCAAUUUUAUCAUUUGUGAAGCAAGGUGAUCCUGCAUGCUCCUCAGGGCUCCUGUGAGGCUCACAUGGGACACUGUGCACAUAAGUGCUUUCAUACACUCCCUAAAGCUCAGCAGAUCAAAGGAGCAUCAUGAGCUGACUCACAGCGCGCUGAUGCUCUUGUUAAUGCCUCCAAGUCAUCCUGACACCUGAUGUUUUCGCAGGCCUCUCUGAAUUGAUUUAGACACUGCUAAUUAAAAUAAACUCCCCCUACCCAGGGAGGCAGCCACACAAAGUCAUCAAGUCAUGGCUGUUUCCCACCCCAAUGGGAAGAAGACCCUUCCGUCUCAGGUUCUCCCUCCAGCCGUCGGUGGCCCUGCCCUCUGCAGUGAGUGCACAGCGGUGGGAGAGGAGACUUCCUAUCCGAUUCAUCUGCUUACAGAACUAUGGUCGAGAGGGCGCUGCUCAUGGUUUUUCUGCAAUUAGAUCCUCUCCAAAAAGCUUCACUGGAAAUGAUCAGAGCUCCCCUGUCGGUGGGAAGAAGCCCUAAGAUAAAGCCGCCUCAAGGCACUCUCAAAACAGAUUCUGGCACCUCAGCAGAGAGGCAGACAGCGCCUGGGAGGGGCCUCAGAAGGUGGCUAAUGGGUCUUUAGAUUUGGAGAGAUGCUUAAGGAGCCUGUGUGAUGGUGAGACUGCACAGAAAGGCCCCCAGGAGAACACCCCACAUUUGCAGAGCAUGCUAAAGCUACAGAGAGUGCCUACACACCUUAGUUCUGCCAAUCCCCAAAGCCUAGGAGGUUGGUAUUAUCACCCCCAUUUUACAGACAAGGAAACUGAGGCUCGGCAAGUCUGACAAAACCUACAGCUAGGCCAUCUGAUCCCAAGUCUAACCUUUCUGUCUCAAGACAGGGGUUCUCAACCCUGGCCGCUCACUGGGAUCACCUGGGGAGCUUUAAAAAUAUGCUGAUGCCUGAGUCUCACCCCAGAUCAGUCUAUUCAGGACCACCUGGCAGUGGGGCCUGGGAAUCCAUGUUUGUCAAGGUUCCUUGGGGAUUCUCACCUGCGUAGCUCUGCUCGAGCUGCAUGCCCUCAGCACAGAUUUUUAAAACACCCUGAAAACCGAGGGCUUCUCUCCCCAGUCCAAGUCAGAUGUCUCCUACCCUGACAUACCGUCUCCACUUGCCUGGACCCUGUGGGCACAGGGACAUGGAGGCCUGAUUCUAAGAGUUACUUCUCUUCCCUGCACUCCAACAUCAUGGUGUGGGAGCCUGGACUGACCCCUCUCUCCAG